rnacentral:misc_RNA from 1 species
GAUGAAGAACGUAGCGAAAUGCGAUAAGUAAUGCGAAUUGCAGAAUUCAGUGAAUCAUCGAAUCUUUGAACGCACAUUGCGCCCUGUGGUAUUCCGCAGGGCAUGCCUGUUCGAGCGUCAUUUCAACCCUCAAGCUCUGCUUGGUGUUGGGCCCUGCCCGCUGCGGCCGGCCCUAAAGACAGUGGCGGUGCCGCCUGGCCCUGAGCGUAGUACAUCUCUCGCUCCAGUGCCCGGUGGUAGCCUGCCAGAACCCCAACUCUCGUGGUUGACCUCGGAUCAGGUAGGGAUACCCGCUGAACUUAAGCAUAUCAAUAAGCGGAGGA